rnacentral:tRNA from 1 species
GGGGUUGUGACUCAGUGGUAGAGCGCUCAUCUAGCACUUGCGAGGCCCUGGGUUUGAUCCUCAGCACCACA